CUGCAUAAGUAAUACUGGUGUUACACUUGUUACACAAGAAAAAAUGAGAUAAGUUAAUCAACAGCUUUGUAAAAAAAAGUUUUGCUCCCUAGACAGAUGAGUAUAUUUUGUAAAGAAUUAAUUGUUUCAUUUUGGUGCACUGUAAUAAUCAUUCAAACGCCAAACAUUUUAUAGCUACACUAAUCAUGUUAGUAUCACAGGGGGGGAAAAGACUAAGCUAAAAAGAUUUCAGUCCCAAACAGAAAACAUUAAUUUGAAAUAAAGAAUUCACACUUCUCAAUCAUUUUUCAUUUUGAAAAUAAGCACUCAGCACUGGGUAGUAAAUACUUUGUUUUAUAGCUGGCCUCCAACAAUGUAACCCCAAUUGUUUCACGUAGUCACAGCAAUAGCCUUUUUGCUGGUGACCAGCCAUGCUGGGGACCACCGUGAAGGAAUGCAGAGAAUCCCUGGCAAACCUGGACUGAACAAAUUGCCUGUAAGAGGAGGAAAGCCUGGUUUAAAAGCAGAUCCAGGACUGCAAGCAGGUCUCCCAGGGCCACCAAGUUCCAUGAGAGGUCCUCCCGGAAAAGAUGGGCUUCAUGGGCCACAAGGGCCUGGGGUGAACAAUGCGAUAAGGGAGAGCAAGGGCAGCCUGGACAACCAGGCCUUACCUGCUAUUCGUAAUCCUGAAUUAGAAGAAACCCUCAAAGGAUUCAAAAAAAAAUUGCCAGACUGAAAGGAAGUAAUCUGUCCACUUUUGCUUUUUGCCUCACCCAUAGCUUGAUUAACAAGUGUGGAAAAAAUAAGCCAUGAAAUACCAGCUCCUUAAAAAUAGUCUGAGUCUUGUUCCAUUUAUUUUUACAUUCUUUUUAUACAAAGAAACAAGGAUCUUUGGGGAUGGGCAAUGAUACAUUCUGUAUUGUGUUAAAGAGGUUAACUUGCGGACUAUAUAAUUAGUUACUAGGGUUCCUCCUACCAGCCCCAGAUAACUGUGAUAGGUUGAAACACUGAUGAAACACUGAUGAAAACAAGUCAGAGGUGGCUUAUUGCAUAAUCCCUUUCUGUGAAGAAGUGCUUUCAGGAGUAUCUCUCUGGGUCACCCGAGUUCUGUGAGUGACGCUGAUGGCCAUCACAGUUAAUCUGUGGCUACAAAAGUGACAAGUGUCAUAUCUAACUAAGGCCUGCAAAGAUUUAUGCAUGUGCUCAACUUUAUACACUGUGAAUAGUCCCAGUGAAGUCAGUCCCAUUACUCAGUGUAUGCAAAGUUAAGCAGGUGCACUAGUCUUUAAAAGAUAGGAGCCUAAGGAGCAAAGUGGAUUUUCUCUAUUUAAAAUUCUUCUCUCUCUCCUUCAUUUCUUCCCCUGCCAUCCACAUUCCCUUUGACUCCUUUUCAUUUUAAUUUCUCUCUCUCCACUUCAUCAUAUUCAUAUAUUUCUCCUCUCUUUUCCAUCUCUUUCCCAUCUCCUAUUCUCUUCUAGUCUUAUAACUCUAAUGAAUUCUCCUCCCCUUCUCUUUUUCCCUUUUCAAGUCCCCUCCUCCAUUCUCCUCUCUUCUUGAGUUUAUAUUCUCUUUGUUCUGAAGUCACUAGACAGGAGCAAUAGUCUACUCAAUUUAGCAUGUCAUUGAUGUUACAUCCAGCAGAGGGCAGUGUUUGGUAGGAUAGCAUGACAUAGCCUAUGCUCUGGGGUUUUUUAAUCUAGGGGUGGGGAAGGAGAGAGAGUUGUAUGAAGUUUGCAAUUUGUGUUGCUUAUUUUAUUUGGAAGGGUUAUUUUAUUAUAGAAGAAUACAGAAAGAGGGAGUCCCACUAUAGUAGUAAUCGUGAGAGUGUAAAAUUAUUCAAAAAAGUUUAACAAGAGCUUUUGCUUUAUUUUGUGUAGUCUUUGCUUUAGAUGGGACCAUAACAACAAAAAACGUUUGCUAUCAAUGGACAAGAAGUCGAUUUUGAGACCACACUGGAAGCAGGCAAAUAAGCGGGUGGUUCCAUUGCAUCUCCCAGGAAUAAGGGGGAGAAUGAUGCUGUUUUCAGUAUUGUGAGGUUAUUUAACAGAUAUGCAUAUCUGGGCAUUAAGGGGGGUGGGAUUCCAGGUAAAUUCAGUUUCCUGGAUGGAACAGCCGUAAAUUAUACAAACUUGCAUGCAGGUGAGCCCAGUGACAUAGGGGAAGAAAACUGCAUGGAGAUGUGCACUGACGGUGCCUGGAAGAGCACAAGUUGCAACCAGAACCACCUCACUAUCUGUGAAUUUUAAUCCUUGCUCCUACCUUUCCUUCAAAAUGUCAGACAUCUGUAGGGUCCUUUGAAUUCUCUCUUUCAUCCACAAACAAGAAUCUGUUUUCUCAGCAUUGUAGUUAGUGAUUUCUGUGAUUAUUCUGUAUGAGAAAAUGAAAAUCAAUAAAGUCAUGAUGCACUAUCUUCCUUCCUCA
ensembl:lncRNA